rnacentral:rRNA from 1 species
AUACGGAGGGUGCGAGCGUUAAUCGGAAUUACUGGGCGUAAAGCGUACGUAGGCGGUUGGUUAAGUUAGAUGUGAAAGCCCCGGGCUUAACCUGGGAACUGCAUUUAAAACUGGCGAACUAGAGUUGAGUAGAGGGGAGUGGAAUUUCAGGUGUAGCGGUGAAAUGCGUAGAGAUCUGAAGGAACACCAGUGGCGAAGGCGACUCCCUGGACUCGAACUGACGCUGAGGUACGAAAGCGUGGGGAGCAAACAGGAUUAGAAACCCGAGUAGUCC